rnacentral:rRNA from 1 species
GAUGAACGCUGGCGGCGUGCCUAAUACAUGCAAGUCGAGCGAAGCGGGGACGGGUGAGUAAUACGUGGAUAACCUCCUAUAAGACUGGGAUAACUCCGGGAAACCGGAGCUAAACCGGAAACUAAUAGAUGGAUCCGCGCUGCAUUAGCUAGUUGGUAAGGUAACGGCUUACCAAGGCAACGAUGCAUAGACGACCUGAGAGGAUGAGCGGCCACACUGGAACUGAGAACCGGCCCAGACUCCUACGGGAGGCAGCAGUAGGGAAUCUUCCGCAAUGGGCGAAAGCCUGACGCAGCCACGCCGCGUGAGUGAUGAAGGUCUUCGGAUCGUAAAACUCUUUUAUUAGGGAAGCGGUACCUAAUCAGAAAGCCACGGCUAACUCCGUGCCAGCAGCCGCGGUAAUUC